rnacentral:rRNA from 1 species
CAUGCUCUAGGAGGACAUUACACAAAUAUGAAGGCGGGCUGGAACCUCUCGGGGUUACAGCCUUGCUGAAUUAUUCACCCUUGUCUUUUGCGUACUUCUUGUUUCCUUGGUGGGUUCGCCCACCACUAGGACAAACAUAAACCUUUUGUAAUUGCAAUCAGCGUCAGUAACAAAUUAAUAAUUACAACUUUCAACAACGGAUCUCUUGGUUCUGGCAUCGAUGAAGAACGCAGCGAAAUGCGAUAAGUAGUGUGAAUUGCAGAAUUCAGUGAAUCAUCGAAUCUUUGAACGCACAUUGCGCCCUUUGGUAUUCCAAAGGGCAUGCCUGUUCGAGCGUCAUUUGUACCCUCAAGCUUUGCUUGGUGUUGGGCGUCUUGUCUCUAGCUUUGCUGGAGACUCGCCUUAAAGUAAUUGGCAGCCGGCCUACUGGUUUCGGAGCGCAGCACAAGUCGCACUCUCUAUCAGCAAAGGUCUAGCAUCCAUUAAGCCUUUUUUUCAACUUUUGACCUCGGAUCAGGUAGGGAUACCCGCUGAACUUAAGCAUAUCAUAAGGCGGGAGGAAAA